rnacentral:rRNA from 1 species
AGAUUGAACGCUGGCGGCAUGCCUUACACAUGCAAGUCGAACGGCAGCACGGGGGCAACCCUGGUGGCGAGUGGCGAACGGGUGAGUAAUACAUCGGAACGUGUCCAGUUGUGGGGGAUAACCAGUCGAAAGAUUGGCUAAUACCGCAUGAGCCCGAAAGGGGAAAGCGGGGGGACCUGCAAGGGCCUCGCGCGAUUGGAGCGGCCGAUGUCCGAUUAGCUAGUUGGUGAGGUAACGGCUCACCAAGGCGACGAUCGGUAGCUGGUCUGAGAGGACGACCAGCCACACUGGGACUGAGACACGGCCCAGACUCCUACGGGAGGCAGCAGUGGGAAUUUGGACAAUGGGGGCAGCCCUGAUCCAGCCAUGCCGCGUGUGUGAUGAAGGCCUUCGGUUGUAAAGCACUUUCGGACGAAGAAAUCGACGCGGCGAAUAUCCCGCGUGGAUGAACGGUACGUAAAGAAGAAGACGACCGGCUAACACGUGCCAGCAGCCG